rnacentral:rRNA from 1 species
CGCUCAACGGAUAAAAGGUACUCCGGGGAUAACAGGCUGAUACCCCCCAAGAGUCCAUAUCGACGGCGUCGUUUGGCACCUCGAUGUCGGCUCAUCACAUCCUGGGGCUGGAGCAGGUCCCAAGGGUUCGGCUGUUCGCCGAUUAAAGUGGUACGUGAGCUAGGUUCAGAACGUCGUGAGACAGUUCGGUUUAUAUCCGAUGUGGACGCAAGGAAAUUUGAGGGAAUUUGCCCCUAGUAAGAAAUUGCUACUUUAUGUAGAGAUACAUAAUGACAACGUGGCUAAUAACGGUGGAACCUUCGCAUGUUUACAGUUCGAGAAUUAUAUUACUAUCGGUCCUUUUGUAGUAUAAUUCGCUUGAGGACCGUAGACCUCUGAAAGGUAAUACCGUGGGAAGUCGACCAAGUAUUGAAUUGGCAUAUAUAGCCGGGUUUCUAGAUGGCGAUGGUAGCUUAAUGCUACAGCUUAAAAAACGUAAAGACACAAAGCGUGGAUUUCGUUUCAUGGCAACCAUCUGCUUUUAUCAAGAUACUCGACAUGAAAAACCACUUUACUGGAUAAGAGAUAUACUUAAUGUAGGUUAUAUCUCUAGACGUAAAGAUGGAAUGUCAGAGCUCAGAAUAAAUGGUUUUAAUACAAUAGAACAAUUGUUGAAUGAACUUAAGCCUUAUAUUAAGUUUAAGGAAGUUCAGCUAGAAGCUAUGAUUAAAGCGACAUCUAUUCUAAGAAGCGACAUGAAUACGCUAACCAAUAAAGAUCUCGAAACUAUAGUAAGUUGUAUUUUAAUAAUUCAAAAUGAGAAUUAUAAAUCACACAAAAAACGUAGUAGAGCUGAUUUUUAUGAGUUACUUGGUUUGACCCCGUAACGACUUGAUCUUUGACAGAUCAGAUAGAGAUUACUUAUCGAAAGAUAAAAUAUAUGAUCUUUAUAAUACGCCACUGCCCUAAUCUACAACGUAGAAAGGGUAAAGAUAUAGUCUGUGCUUUUAGAAAUAAAAGAAUAAACGACGAGAGGACCGGGGUGAACGCACCGCUGGUGUAUCAGUUGUCUAACCUAUAGGCAUUGCUGAGUAGCUAUGUGCGGACCAGAUAAGCGCUGAAAGCAUAUUAAGCGCGAAACUGAUCCCAAGAUUAGAUUUCCCUAUGAAGACCCUGAAAGACGAUCAGGUUGAUAGGCGCAAGGUGUAAGUGCAGCAAUGUAUUCAGCCAAAGCGUACUAAUAGUCUCAUUGACUUUUUAUG